GGCCGGUGUGGCUGCUUACGAUGCGCGUCGAACGGUACGGCCCCUUCGGGGGUACACGAGUGGCGAACGGGUGAGUAACACGUGAGCAACCUGCCCUUGACUCUGGAAUAACAGUUGGAAACAGCUGCUAAUACCGGAUAUGACCUUCGCAGUCCUCUGCUGAAGGUGGAAAGCUCCGGCGGUCAAGGAUGGGCUCGCGGCCUAUCAGCUAGUUGGUGAGGUAAUGGCUCACCAAGGCUUCGACGGGUAGCCGGCCUGAGAGGGCGACCGGCCACACUGGGACUGAGAUACGGCCCAGACUCCUACGGGAGGCAGCAGUGGGGAAUAUUGCACAAUGGGCGAAAGCCUGAUGCAGCAACGCCGCGUGCGGGAUGACGGCCUUCGGGUUGUAAACCGCUUUCAGUUCCGACGAAGCGAAAGUGACGGUAGGAACAGAAGAAGGACCGGCCAACUACGUGCCAGCAGCCGCGGUGAUACGUAGGGUCCGAGCGUUGUCCGGAAUUAUUGGGCGUAAAGGGCUUGUAGGCGGUUUGUCGCGUCGGAAGUGAAAACUCAGGGCUUAACCCUGAGCCUGCUUCCGAUACGGGCAAACUAGAGGGAUGCAGGGGAGAACGGAAUUCCUGGUGGAGCGGUGGAAUGCGCAGAUAUCA
rnacentral:rRNA from 1 species